rfam:Tupaia chinensis contig219338, whole genome shotgun sequence.
GUGCUGACUUCGACAGCACAUAUACAAACAUUGCAAUGAUGCAGAGAAGAUUAACAGGACCCAUGAGCAAUGAUGACAUAUUAAUUUAUAAAGUGCUCCAUAUUUUU